GCCCUGGUAGUGCAGCGGUUACACACUUGGCUGCUAACCAAAAGGCUGGUAGUUCAGACCCACCCAGAGGCU
rnacentral:tRNA from 1 species